rnacentral:lncRNA from 1 species
ACUGGCGGACCCAUAUAGAAAUUAGGGAGGUCAACUGACCUGGGUAAAAUGCUAAAAUAAAGUGUUUUUGUUUAUAUAUUAGUGUAAUUUCAGCAGCAAAGUUGGUUUUCUUGAGAUUUUUGACACCCCAAACCCAAGUUCAAUACUCUCAUAUUACAUUUAUGGGUUCUUCUUGUGUUUUUUAAAAUAUUUAAUUGCUAAAAAAAGUUUUUGACCCGGGUAAAAUUUUCUCCUGGGUCCGCCACUGGCCACGUCAGACAAAAAGGCGCGUGCCACCAAUAACUCAGCCAUAACCUACGUUACGGCUGAGUUAUAUCACGUUAUGGCUGAGUU